UUAACUCGAGUUUAUAUGGAGUUGGAACGUUUGCCUAAGUUUGCCGCUAGGGGCGCUGUUCCAACUGCAUAAUUUGAGUUA
rnacentral:pre_miRNA from 1 species